rnacentral:rRNA from 1 species
UGGGGAAUUUUGGACAAUGGGGGCAACCCUGAUCCAGCAAUGCCGCGUGUGUGAAGAAGGCCUUCGGGUUGUAAAGCACUUUUGUCCGGGAAGAAAUCCCCUGCCCUAAUACGGCGGGGGAUGACGGUACCGGAAGAAUAAGCACCGGCUAACUACGUGCCAGCAGCCGCGGUAAUACGUAGGGUGCGAGCGUUAAUCGGAAUUACUGGGCGUAAAGCGUGCGCAGGCGGUGAUGUAAGACCGAUGUGAAAUCCCCGGGCUCAACCUGGGAACUGCAUUGGUGACUGCAUUGCUCGAGUAUGGCAGAGGGGGGUGGAAUUCCACGUGUAGCAGUGAAAUGCGUAGAGAUGUGGAGGAACACCGAUGGCGAAGGCAGCCCCCUGGGCCAAUACUGACGCUCAUGCACGAAAGCGUGGGGAGCAAACAGGAUUAGAUACCCUGGUAGUCCACGCCCUAAACGAUGUCAACUGGUUGUCGGGCCUUCAUUGGCUUGGUAACGUAGCUAACGCGUGAAGUUGACCGCCUGGGGAGUACGGUCGCAAGAUUAAAACUCAAGGAAUUGACGGGGUCAUAGCUG